ensembl:snoRNA
ACCCUCCAGUUCCCUUUCCCGUCGGAUCCAAGCACUAUUCUGGGUGGUUGUAAAAGGAGGAAAAGAAAGACUGAAGCUGCCCCUCAGUGCUAUGGGAAGAUCGGGAUAGUUUCAAACAGGA